GAUGAACGCUAGCGGCAGGCUUAACACAUGCAAGUCGAGGGGCAGCGCGAUGUAGCAAUACAUUGGCGGCGACCGGCGCACGGGUGCGUAACACGUAUGGAACUUACCCUUUACUGGGAGAUAGCCCGGAGAAAUCCGGAUUAAUAUCCCAUAAUAAACGAAGUGGCAUCACUUUGUUUUGAAAGCUCCGGCGGUAAAGGAUGGCCAUGCGCACGAUUAGCUAGUAGGUGAGGUAACGGCUCACCUAGGCUACGAUCGUUAGGGGGCCUGAGAGGGUUAUCCCCCACACUGGUACUGAGACACGGACCAGACUCCUACGGGAGGCAGCAGUGAGGAAUAUUGCGCAAUGGAGGCAACUCUGACGCAGCCAUGCCGCGUGCAGGAAGAAGGCGCUACGCGUUGUAAACUGCUUUUAACCGGGAAGAAACCCUCCGACGUGUCGGAGGUUGACGGUACCGGAGGAAUAAGCACCGGCUAACUUCGUGCCAGCAGCCGCGGUAAUGU
rnacentral:rRNA from 1 species